rnacentral:tRNA from 1 species
GGGCCCGUAGCUCAGUUGGGAGAGCGCCUGCCUUGCACGUAGGGGGUCGACGGUUCGAUCCCGUUCGGGUCCA